UACAGAGGGUGCGAGCGUUAAUCGGAAUUACUGGGCGUAAAGCGUGCGUAGACGGUAGCGUAAGUCAGAUGUGAAAGCCCCGGGCUCAACCUGGGAAUUGCAUUUGAGACUGCUCUGCUCGGGUGCGGAAGAGGGAAGCGGAAUUUCCGGUGUAGCGGUGAAAUGCGUAGAUAUCGGGAGGAACACCAGUGGCGAAGGCGAUCAUCUGGGGUUGUUCUGACGCUGAGGAGCGAAAGCUAGGGGAGCAAACGGG
rnacentral:rRNA from 1 species